CUAACCGCCCCACUUUCUGCUGGCAAGAUUACGGUCCGUUAACACCGAGCAGCCGAGCCCAAGAGGACGAAGCAAGUGCAGGCACCUGCGUGGAGUACCGUUACCAUACUGCUCGCUGGGCUCGCCGUUUUUUUUCACUCUGUAACCAGAGACUGCAGCAGUUGGUGCCGUGCCUCUUUGCCAUAGUUGCUGAACAGCAAAGGAAGCAGCUGGUAGAUGCAGCUCAGAGGUAUGCCCAGUGUCCAGGAAAAGCAUCAUGCUGUGUGUUUUCCCCGCCUGUGGAGGGCAGCGUUGGGAUGAGGACAGACUGCAGAGGGAUCAGGAUCUGAC